rnacentral:rRNA from 2 species
GGUUAAGCGACUAAGCGUACACGGUGGAUGCCCUGGCAGUCAGAGGCGAUGAAGGGCGUGCUAAUCUGCGAUAAGCGCCGGUAAGGUGAUAUGAACCGUUAUAACCGGCGAUACCCGAAUGGGGAAACCCAGUGUGAUUCGUCACACUAUCAUUAACUGAAUCCAUAGGUUAAUGAGGCGAACCGGGGGAACUGAAACAUCUAAGUACCCCGAGGAAAAGAAAUCAACCGAGAUUCCCCCAGU